AAGUGCUAGGCGCUCUCCGACACUUGCCAAACGAAGGAGAAAACGAGAUAAGCGAGGACGGCAACCGCGACAGCUACCAACAUUGUCUUUCGGUUUUCCGCUCGUAGCGUCGCGAGUCUUCUCUCUGGAAAAGAAAUCAGUCACAACACUUGUACGUCACUAAUAGUUGACCAUUGAUUGGCAUCUCCGAAUGAUAGGGAGCCGGAGGUAAAUGUAUGAUUCUACUAUCUAUGAAGGUGGAUAUACGCAGAGAGGAGGUUGUUUGUGUCACUGGAGGCCAUACUAGAGACCACAAACUUUGAUAGUCUUAGGGAUUUAGUCUAAACUGUUAGAAUGUCUCAUCUGUUUUCUACCUUGUUUUGUUUAUUAGAUGGAUUCUGUUGCUGUAUGGGAUAUUGUUAGGAAACGCUAAACUAGUCCAACAUUGACUAAUCUAGGGUUUAGCUGGUACUGUAGUAGAAAGGCUCACUUCAAAAUAAAGGCAUAGUCAAACAA